GAGGAAAGAGGGAGGGUGGAGAUGAUGGACAGAGAGGAAGGGAGGAGUGGAGAGGAGGAGGAAAGUGGGAGCAGAGAAAAACAGCAUGAGAAGAGGAAAAAGAAAAGGAAGGAUAGAGAGGGAUGGAAGGAUGAGGAGGAGGUGCAACUAAUUCUGUCGUCUUUUCGUGAUUUUUCUUUUCUGCUGAUUUUUUUUAUUUAAAUUUUUUGGCGUUUUCGAUGAUGUCGCCAAUUUGUCCUUAUGAUGCUAAAAAGAUUGUAGAUGUGAAUUGGGCGGAGCUUUGACUUUGUGACACACACCCCGAGUACUUUGUGGCAAAUUCAUAUUGUUUAAUUUUAUUUUGUAGCUGUUGACACAAUAAACUGAAAAACUGAUCGAUUGAUUGAUGUGUUACUGAACUACACCUGCUGGUCUAAAGGUUAGAAAAGUGGGUUGGGUUUUUUUUUUUGGGGGGGGGGGGG